GGGGCCGACCUGGUUUCGACGUGGGUUGCGAAGCUAAGCAGGGCAUACCGAGGACCAGUCACCUCGUAAAUCCAUCUGGAAACGCAAUAGUCGCCAACGACGACAACUACGCUCUAGCCGCUUAAUACCGGCUGGACUCUGCACCGGUUCUUUCCCUGGGCCGGACGGCGCAAGCCGACGCAGAGUCAUAUACAGGGAAAUCGUGUCGCGCAGGGUCACUUUGCACGGCAUUAAACAAUAGGUGGCUCGCCGUAACACAGCCUGUCGAUGGGCGGUGGUGCGGUUAAACCAAAUCAUUAGACUAAGUAUGUAGAACUGCCUGUAGAGGACUUGCGGACGCGGGUUCGAUUCCCGCCGGCUCCACCA
rnacentral:tmRNA from 1 species